rnacentral:misc_RNA from 1 species
AAGUCGUAACAAGGUUUCCGUAGGUGAACCUGCGGAAGGAUCAUUAAUGAAUUUAACAGCAAAGUUGUCGCUGGCCUUUCUGGCAUGUGCACACUUUGUUAAUUCAUCCAACACACCUCUGUGCACUUUUCAUGGAUUGACAUACGAGGAGGUUACGGCCUCCCUCGGUCUCUCUAUGUAUUAUAAUCACAAACAUCAGUAUUAGAAUGUACUCUUGCGAUAAUCGCAUUGAAAUACAACUUUCAGCAACGGAUCUCUUGGCUCUC